rnacentral:miRNA from 1 species
UUCGUCGAUAUUCGACGUCAUAAACACGAUCGACUUUGGUGUUUAUGACGUCGAUAUUCGACGUCAUAAACCCAUUCAACUUUGGUGGGAAACUUUGGUUGGAAAAAGAUAAAUUUUUUUAUAAAAUUCGUCGAUAUUCGACGUCAUAAACACGAUCGACUUUGGUGUUUAUGACGUCGAUAUUCGACGUC